rnacentral:rRNA from 1 species
CCUACGGGAGGCAGCAGUGAGGAAUUUUGCGCAAUGGGCGAAAGCCUGACGCAGCGACGUCGCGUGGAGGAAGAAGGCCUUCGGGUCGUAAACUCCUGUCAGAGGAGAAGAAGCCCCGAGCAAUCGGGGUUGACGGUAUCCUCAGAGGAAGCCCCGGCCAACUACGUGCCAGCAGCCGCGGUAAGACGUAGGGGACAAACGUUACUCGGAAUUACUGGGCGUAAAGGGUGUGUAGGUGGCUGAGCAAGUCAAAGAUGAAAUCCCGAGGCUCAACUUCGGAAUUGUCUUUGAAACUGUUCAGCUUGAGGAUAGUUGAGGAGAAUGGAAUUCCCGGUGUAGCGGUGAAAUG